GAAAGACGAAUAUGUGCAGUAUGGUUUGUUGCAGUCUGUUCCUUUGCAUAUAUCACCCGAUGCUGCAAUGAUAAAUAUGUUUCAUGUAUAUUGUUGUGUAGGUAUAGAAAGAAAAUUAUGGUGUUUAUAUAUCUUAACUUGUUCGAAGCGGUCUUAUAUUAACAACAUGUAUAUUUGAUUUUUAACAAUGAAAUCUCUUUAUUACUGAAAAAUUAUAAGACUUAGGUGUUCGAUAUCACAAACUAGUCAAAACAUUUUUUUUUUAAAUUUUAUCAUCGGUACAAGGACAUCAUUUGCAAAUAUGAAUCAACAUGCAGAUAUUUAUACGUUCAGGUAAUUCACAUUCAAUCUUUUAUUGUAAUAUUAUUUACAAAGCACACAAAUGUCGGCAUUCACCUCUUAAGAUAACCAAACCUUUCAACAAACUUAUUCAGAAGGGCAAUAGUAAAAGAGGGACGAAAGAUACCAAAGGGACAGUCAAACUAAUAAAUCUAAAAUAAACAGACAACGCCAUGGCUAAAAAUGAAAAAGACAAACAGACAAACAAUAGUAUACAUGACACAACAUAGAAAACUAAAGAAUAAACAACACGAACCGAUCUCAGGUGCUCCGGAAGGGUAAGCAGAUCCUGCUCCACAUGUGGCACUCGUCAUGUUGCUUAUGUGAUAACGAAUCCGGUAAAUAGUCUAAUUCGGUAGGUCACAUUCAUGAAAGGGAACGAUACUGUUGUCAGGUCAUUAAAGAUUGCAUAUGUUGGUAUUAAUAUUGAUUCACGUAUAGGGUCUUUGCAUUUGAAAUAAACACAUUUAUUCUAAAACCAGUUGAUACGGGUUAUGAUCAUGUUUAUUCACAUAUAUUUUAUGAUGGUAUGAUACUAAACACAUGUAUUCUAAAGCCAGUUGAUACGGGUUAUGAUCAUGGUUAUUCUUAUAUAUUUUAUGAUGGUAUGAUACUAAACUCCUUACGGGAGGAAUUGUACUUGAUUUUGAUAGGAUGAAGGCAUAAUUUUUCAAUCAGUUUAAUUGAUGUCUUUCCAUGUCAGUAAAUGCUAGUAGUCCUUUGAUUUUUAUUGGAUCAUUGUCAAUUUGCUAUGUUUCUUUGAAACAUUCCGUAUACCAAUCUCAUUUAUAUCAUCUAUAUAAAAAAAUCUAGGAACUGUAUAAAACAGGUGAUAGUUUCGGUAAUGAAAAAUAUCGACUUACUAUUUUCCUUUUAUUCCAUUAGUUAUAGUUCAUUUUUAUUUCUCACAUCGAUACCAGUGGAUUAUCGGAUUUAUCUAAUCGAGAUAGUUAAGUUCUCAUUUUUAAAGUUUAAAAUUUUUAAUUUAACUAAUUAACUAGAUUAGAUAAAUCCGAUACUUAACGAGUAACUAUGUAAAAAUCUGUUUCUCUAAUGAAAAUCUCUUUCGAGUGACUUUGUCCACAAAGUAAUCAAUUUCAUAACCUGUUUGCAUAUUUUGAUUCAGCCAGUAAGCUGACAAAGGUUAUGACCCUUCGACUCAUCCAAUCAUCUUCUGAAGUCAAUGUGGAAUCAUAAUUUAUUUUAUGUAUACAAUGGGUUCGGAAAAGGGAUAAAUUACCGUAGAGAAAAAGCAAUAUAUUAGUGUAGGACUCGGAACCGCGAUGGUACUCCUAACUGCGAUGGUCAUGCUGAAGUGCGAUGGUUUACACGCUGAAGUGCGAUGGUGGCAUUGUGACGUUUGCUUUGUUGACUACUACGCUAAAUUGUGAUGGGGGUUACGCUGACGUUCGAUGGUCUGUCUGUGACAUUGAUUAUACAAGCAAAAUAGACAUUAGAUGUUUGAAUGAAACAGUAUCAUUAAAGGAGCAACCAUUUAACUUCUAAAGGGGUCAUGGUAUUUGUCUUGGUCAUAAUUUGUUUUCCAUGCGCUAACAUUUUUUGUAUAGUUUUCAAUGCAUUUUUAUUUAAAAUAAGUAUAUUCAGAAAUGACACAAUAAAGUACUGGAAAAAUCUUGGAUUCAAAAUAUAUUUUUUGUCAGUCAUUCCUUUAGAUUUGACAACCGUGGUUUGCCAUCCUCGUAUAAGGUUAGUCCUUUAACUUUUGUUCAGGUCAAAUAAAAAAAAAAAUGUUAAUCUAAUUUGAAAUAGGUUUUCCGAUUAGCACGCAUUAGUAUGGGGAUGCUAAAUUGCUAAAAAGUACACGUAGUCAUGUUGUAGACAAUUAUCACAGUAGCCACAAUAAAAUAAGACUAGAGCGGUCGACGGUGCUAUUACAAAUCAGGAUCUAUCUCGAAAAUAACAUUAUGUCAACUUGAUAUAACAAAACAUUACUAGUACUAGCAUUUUUUUCCCCAUUAAGUUGUCCAUGUGGUGCUUACUUAAAGAUCAAUCACAAUUAGUAUAUAAAAGAUAAAUAUACUUUAUUUAUAGUGCAAAAAGUUUGUGGCAUGAUUCCAAACACUGGUUCGCCAAUUUACUGGUCAAGUUUAUCUUUCAUUGGCUUUGCUUCCAAUAAAUUGCAUCCACGUUUAAUGCAACAAACUACCUGGAUUUGAAAUGCUCGUUUCUUUCUUUUUCACCCCUUUUCCUUAUUUAGCAUGAACCAUUCAUCUACAACCCUUUUAUCCUUCUUCGAAUCUAUGUUGUAUUUGAGAAUGUCACAAUAUUUUAACGUCACAUCAAUUAUGCUAAACCAUCGCACUUCAGCGUAGGGACCAUCGUACUUCGGCAUGGACCAUUGCACUUGAGCGUGAUCAUCGCACUUCAGCGUCCCUAUCGCACCUCCGAGCCCUACAGAUGUAUUCACUGUACCAGAAUUGUAGUUUAAAUUAUUUGGAAGAGAUAUAUAGCUGUGUUCAGCAUACGCUGGAUUAAUAUGUGUCAUUCCAUAUAAAAAGAAACAUUUGUGAUUGACCGUUACCUAUUUAUUUAAUCUUUGUUUACAUGCAUCGCCAACGUCAAAAGCAGGUCUAGAAAUCGCUCGACUCCGUCUGUAAAUCUGUCAAUCCGAAAAUACAUUUGGUUGGUAGACAACUUUCGUCAAGUUACGUUGGCUUAUUUGUAAGGGAAGCAUUUAAUAUCUAGUCUCCAGGUUGAUCAUAUUGAAUUUACAGAGCGGAAGCAUUUUUUAGUGUCUAUUUCAAUUGAUUUAAUAAGUUUAUAUAAAAGAUUUUGACUGAUUUAGUCAUUAAAAAUGCUCCAAUUCAAGCUUGAUAUGAAACAUCUAUCAAAUAUGCAAAACAAUGUUACUUUCCAAAUGUUUAUUGUCAAAAAUGAAAGUGGCCGCAUCCGUGUUCAUCCUCAACCUUUAUAUAUGUUAUGCAUUUUCAUCAAAUACAACUUACAUUUCAAUAUUAUGAAUGAACACGAAUGCGGUCACUUUCAUUUAAGACGGAAACCGUCUAAAAUUUAACUAAAAUGCUAAAAUUGUGAAGAUUUCAGUCAUUUAGCAUGACUUACUGAUGCUAGUACCUGGGAUAUGUGCAUCGUAUUGUCAAAAACAGCCCAUAGUUAUGUAGCAGAAGCAUUCUGCUUUCUAAUAAAUAUAUAAAAGAUUACAUUUUCACUAUAAUGUAAAACAGCUAUAAUUUGGGGCCAAAAAGUCGUCUUACUGAACCUACUCCUUUUACAAGGAAACGUUUCGUCCAUCUUUAUUUUUAUUUUACUCUAUAGGACGGAGUGAUUUUAAAUUUGGUUUGCAACUUGAUAAUGUUGAUAAGUACUAAUAACAUGUUCAUUAAGUUCAGGCAAAAAGGUUAAAUCACAAAAAUACUGAACUCCCAGGAAAGUUCAAAAAUGAAAGUUCCUAGUAAUCAAAUGGAGAAAAAAAAGCUCGAACACAUCAAACGAAUGGAUAAUAACUGUCAUAUUCCUGACUUGGUCCUAGAAUGUUCUUAUGUAGAAAAUUGUGGAUUUAACCUUGGCUAUCUAAACCUCUCACUUGUAAGACAGUCUAAUUCCAUAAUAUUGAAAACGAUGUGUGAACAAAACAAACAGACAUAAUAGGUAAAAAUAUCCAAAAUAGGUACAUCAGUCAAUAUUUUGUAAUCAUUUUAAUCAGUAUAACAACAAACAAUUAUGUAACAAAGAAGUACAAAAUGGCAUAUAAACCAACCAUAUAAGCAAAAAUUAAAGACAAGAAUACACAAAUAUACCAUAGUACACUAACACAAUGGCGGGAUGUAUAAGUACAGAGCCACGUCAUAUGUGUAUCAAAGAAAUAUAGAAAGGCAUAUAGACAAAGCCAUUAGCAAAAAUUGUCUUCUUACUGUUUUAAACGAUCUGACUGUAUUUGUUUUUCUCAUAAAAUCGAUCAAAAGUAUAAUUGUAUGAAUAAACAAUGCUUUCUUUAACUGUUCCAAACAAAGAUUCCAAUUAUCAGUGCUAUUGCAAAUACUUUAUGAUAACUCGUAAAAUAAAUACACAUCAUAUCAUUUCACAUUUCCAUGAUUGGUUUCAGCUGUGAAAUUGGUGCUGAUGAUUGCAUGUGGUAUUUUGUUGAUCAGCGUCCCUCUUUUAACUGGUACUAUAGAUAACGAAGGCGGCUGUACAGGUAAUCUACUGUUUUGAUAACCAGGGAACACAUUUUAUUCUAUACGAAAACAAAUAUUUUAAUAAAGCUUGAAGAUGCUUCAUUAAAAUGUUGAGCAUGAAAACUUAUUACGAUUAAAUUACAUACCGAACAAUUGCUAACUGUUGCAAAGUUAUAUCAGGACUAAAGUUCCAGUAUGUCUUCAAGUUAAGUAUUUAAUCGUUAAUAGUGAUUAACGUAUUUUAAAGCAGGAUCUAUCUAAUUAAAUCCUUCUGUCAUCUUAAUAAAUAUAUAGGGUUAAAAAAAUUAUUUUGAACGAUGCUGUGUGACUGUGUAUAAGUGUAUUGGCCGUGAACAGGAAAGAUGUUCGAAAUUCACGUGUACGUUGUAUAAAUCAUCUUUGAAAAAAAAGUGAUUAAAGUUAUAUCCAACAAAUUCAUUUUUAACUACGAUUGAGUGAGAGGUUGGUGCAGCAACAUCAAAGAAAAUCCAUCAAGAAUGUGGUCGUCCCUGGAUGAAUAACAUUGACCCCCAAUAGAAAAAAUAUUCAACUUAUAGUGAAACAUUUAUUUAUAUUUUUUUUGGUCAUAAUUUCGUAAAGUCAUAUGAAAUGAGUUUACGGUGAUCAUGAUAUUACUGAAAUUAUUGAACCAAUGCAUGCAUAUACACAAAACAGAGUCCUCUGUGAAAGAAACGUUAUUCUUUUGUAGUUUGAAUGACCCUUUCGUAUCUUUUGACCAUCUAUUUCACACAUUCAACAGUUAAAUUGUCCAAUUAAGGCUAAUCGAAAAGGUAGAAAAAUCAGAUAUGUUCAAUAAAAACGACUAGAUUGCACACAGAAUUUUCAAACACGAACCUUCAGUAAAACCUUGACAAAUCAUCUGUUAUAACAAUAGAAUUACUGACUCGUUCACAAGAGAUGUGUCUAUGGAUCGCUUCAUUUGAAUAUAUCAUUCUGAUAAUUAAUCUGAUAAUUACGCAAAUUAUCAUUUCAAUGCAAAUAAGAUUAACGUGUGCAAAACCAUCCUCUAACACAUUCUGCUACUUAAUUUAAAAUAUGUAGUGUGUACACAUUGAUUGAGACUUGUAGUUGCAUAGUUUCCUAACGAAGCAUCAUCACAAUCCUGUGUAUUACAAAUCCGCAAAAACCGUGUACUUCUUAUCAUUUGAAUCUUUGAUAUAAACAGUCGUAAAAAGGGAUAACUUGUCGAUUCAGUUCAAUGCAUGCAUUCAGUUGUGUUUAUCACAAAGAAUCCUCAAAGAAAAAACUUCAAAAAUGUAUAGGCUGUUAUAAACUUCUUAAUUUUGAAGGGUUUUCCAAGGUCGUCUUGCCGAUGGUUGGUAUCCUAGCAGGAGUUAUAAUGAUUCUAUUAUUGUUGUCGAAAGGUAAGAUAAUCUUGCAAAAAUAUAUAUUUAUCUUUUAUUUUCAUUUGUUUUCAUUGAUUUAUUAUCUAAUUUACAUCUGGGAAAAGUGUUUAAAACAUAAUUGAUAACGAGGGAAGAUAUUAUAGCGCAUACGGAUGACGAUCGAUUACCCUAUCUUAAUUCAAAUGACAUUAACAAAGAUGAAAAUUAAACUUCCUUAGUGGGAUUGAACACACCAAAUAUGCAUAUUCCUGUAACAUAUUUCUAAAAUAUAGCUCUUCAAAGGUUUCGGUAAUUAUACAUUUUCGCAUUUCAAAUGUUUUGCUUUGAGUGUUUCUGAUGAAGGUAAAUCCAAAAACCGUUUCGGACGCAUUGAAAUUAUUUAAUGUGUUGUUUUCAAUUCUUUACAUAUGUUUCCAAUUUUAUUUAUUUAUUUGUUGAAGGUAAAGAUUUACGAUAUGUACAAUACACGCCCAGAGGAUCUAAAUCAACUGCAGAGGCAUUUGACAUUGGUCACAACAUGGAGGAGAUUUCUUUUUGAUAUAACAAUUCAUUUUGGUAACAGGGGACGC
rnacentral:lncRNA from 1 species